CGGUGUUUAACUGGCGUGAUGUGGGACGUCCUACCGGUGGGCUUAGCCUCGCGAGGGGCGGCCCAACUAAUAUCCCGUCGCGGUGCUCUUUACUGAGUGUCGAGUCGGGCCGGUACGUUUACUUUGAACAAAUUAGAGUGCUUAAAGCAGGCUAUCCUCGCCUGAAUACUGCGUGCAUGGAAUAAUGGAAUAGGACCUCGGUUCUAUUUUGUUGGUUUUCGGAACCCCGAGGUAAUGAUUAAUAGGGACAGAUGGGGGCAUUCGUAUUGCGACGUUAGAGGUGAAAUUCUUGGAUCGUCGCAAGACGGACAGAAGCGAAAGCAUUUGCCAAAAAUGUUUUCAUUAAUCAAGAACGAAAGUUAGAGGUUCGAAGGCGAUCAGAUACCGCCCUAGUUCUAACCAUAAACGAUGCCAGCUAGCGAUCCGCCGAAGUUCCUCCGAUGACUCGGCGGGCAGCUUCCGGGAAACCAAAGCUUUUGGGUUCCGGGGGAAGUAUGGUUGCAAAGCUGAAACUUAAAGGAAUUGACGGAAGGGCACCACCAGGAGUGGAGCCUGCGGCUUAAUUUGACUCAACACGGGAAACCUCACCAGGCCCAGACACCGGAAGGAUUGACAGAUUGAUGGCUCUUUCUUGAUUCGGUGGGUGGUGGUGCAUGGCCGUUCUUAGUUGGUGGAGCGAUUUGUCUGGUUAAUUCCGAUAACGAACGAGACUCUAGCCUGCUAAACAGGCGUACCUUAUGGUAUCGCGAAGGCCCCCGGCUUCGGCCGGUGGGUUUUUACUACCAACGUACAAACAAAUCUUCUUAGAGGGCACAGGCGG
rnacentral:rRNA from 1 species